AAACCACGAUAGGUCACGAUUUCUGGAAUGGAUCAUGGCNUAAAUCUACAUGGCCCCUGGAUUGGACUGCGGCCGAUCAGGCAGUUGGUGAGGUAAUGGCCCACCAAACCUAUAACCGGUACGGGCUCUGAGAGGAGAAGCCCGGAGAUGGGCACUGAGACAAGGGCCCAGGCCCUAUGGGGCGCAGCAGGCGCGAAACCUCUGCAAUAGGCGAAAGCCUGACAGGGUUACUCUGAGUGAUUUCCGCUAAGGGGAUCUUUUGGCACCUCUAAAAAUGGUGCAGAAUAAGGGGUGGGCAAGUCUGGUGUCAGCCGCCGCGGUAAUACCAGCACCCCGAGUGGUCGGGACGAUUAUUGGGCCUAAAGCAUCCGUAGCCGGUUCUGCAAGUCUUCCGUUAAAUCCAGCCGCUCAACGGAUGGGCCGCGGAGGAUACUAUAGGACUAGGAGGCGGGAGAGGCAAGCGGUACUCAGUGGGUAGGGGUAAAAUCCUUUGAUCCAUUGAAGACCACCAGUGGCGAAGGCGGCUUGCCAGAACGCGCUCGACGGUGAGGGAUGAAAGCU
rnacentral:rRNA from 1 species